UCCGGUUUGACACCGGCAGUCUCCCUAGAGUGCCCGGCAUAACCCGCUGGUAACUAGGGACGAGGGUUGCGCUCGUUGCGGGACUUAACCCAACAUCUCACGACACGAGCUGACGACAGCCAUGCAGCACCUGUGCACGAGUCCCGAAGGAAGACCGGGGUCUCCCCCAGCUGUCCCGUGCAUGUCAAGCCCAGGUAAGGUUCUUCGCGUUGCUUCGAAUUGAACCACAUGCUCCACCGCUUGUGCGGGCCCCCGUCAAUUCCUUUGAGUUUCAGCCUUGCGGCCGUACUCCCCAGGCGGGGCACUUACUGCGUUAGCGACGGCACCGGGAGGGUCGCUCCCCCCGACGCCUAGUGCCCAUCGUUUACGGCGUGGACUAC
rnacentral:misc_RNA from 1 species